UACGGAGGGUGCAAGCGUUAUCCGGAUUUACUGGGUUUAAAGGGUGCGUAGGCGGCCCUGUAAGUCAGUGGUGAAAUCUCUCAGCUUAACUGAGAAACUGCCAGUGAUACUGCAGGGCUUGAGUACAGAUGAUGUUGGCGGAAUAUGACAUGUAGCGGUGAAAUGCAUAGAUAUGUCAUAGAACACCGAUUGCGAGGGCAGCUGACAAAACUGUAACUGACGCUGAGGUGCGAAAGCGUGGGGAGCAAACAGG
rnacentral:rRNA from 1 species